rnacentral:rRNA from 1 species
GCAGUCGACGGAAGGCCCUGCUUUUGUGGGGUGCUCGAGUGGCGAACGGGUGAGUAACACGUGAGUAACCUGCCCUUGACUUUGGGAUAACUUCAGGAAACUGGGGCUAAUACCGGAUAGGAGCUCCUGCUGCAUGGUGGGGGUUGGAAAGUUUCGGCGGUUGGGGAUGGACUCGCGGCUUAUCAGCUUGUUGGUGGGGUAGUGGCUUACCAAGGCUUUGACGGGUAGCCGGCCUGAGAGGGUGACCGGCCACAUUGGGACUGAGAUACGGCCCAGACUCCUACGGGAGGCAGCAGUGGGGAAUAUUGCACAAUGGGCGGAAGCCUGAUGCAGCAACGCCGCGUGCGGGAUGACGGCCUUCGGGUUGUAAACCGCUUUCGCCUGUGACGAAGCGUGAGUGACGGUAAUGGGUAAAGAAGCACCGGCUAACUACGUGCCAGCAGCCGCGGUGAUACGUAGGGUGCGAGCGUUGUCCGGAUUUAUUGGGCGUAAAGGGCUCGUAGGUGGUUGAUCGCGUCGGAAGUGUAAUCUUGGGGCUUAACCCUGAGCGUGCUUUCGAUACGGGUUGACUUGAGGAAGGUAGGGGAGAAUGGAAUUCCUGGUGGAGCGGUGGAAUGCGCAGAUAUCAGGAGGAACACCAGUGGCGAAGGCGGUUCUCUGGGCCUUUCCUGACGCUGAGGAGCGAAAGCGUGGGGAGCGAACAGGCUUA